GUACACACCGCCCGUCGCUAUUACCGAUUGAGUGUUAAGGUGAACCYUCUCGAUAGAGCAAUCUAAAWAUUAAGYAAACCUUGACACUUAGAGGAAAUAAAAGUCGUAACAAGGUAUUCGUAGGUGAACCUGCAGAAGGAUCA
rnacentral:rRNA from 1 species